UACGAAGGGGGCUAGCGUUGUUCGGAAUCACUGGGCGUAAAGCGCACGUAGGCGGACUUUUAAGUCAGGGGUGAAAUCCUGGAGCUCAACUCCAGAACUGCCUUUGAUACUGGGAGUCUCGAGUUCGGAAGAGGUUGGUGGAACUGCGAGUGUAGAGGUGAAAUUCGUAGAUAUUCGCAAGAACACCAGUGGCGAAGGCGGCUCACUGGCCCGGUACUGACGCUGAGGUGCGAAAGCGUGGGGAGCAAACGGG
rnacentral:rRNA from 1 species